CCAGUUGGCCGGGCAGCCGCUCUCCGCUAGGGCCGAAAGGUUGCGGGGGGAGGAAAGUCCGGGCUCCACGGAAAGACGGUGCCGGAUAACGUCCGGCGAGGGCGACCUCAGGGAAAGUGCCACAGAAAGCAAACCGCCGCCUUCGGGCGGUAAGGGUGAAAGGGUGGGGUAAGAGCCCACCGCGGUCAUGGUGACAUGAACGGCACGGUAAACCCCACCGGGAGCAAAACCGAAUAGGGAUAACGUGGAGCGCGCAAGCGCUCCGGCCUUUUCCGGGCUAGUUAUCCGGGUGGGUUGCAAGAGGCAUCGCGCAAGCGCUGUCCCAGAUGAAUGGCUGCCACGUUCCGGCCUCGGUCGGAGCCAUACAGAACCCGGCUUACAGGCCAACUGGCGAA
rnacentral:RNase_P_RNA from 3 species